GUAUAUUUUGGGCAAACCUGUCGAAAGGCAGGGACGCAAAGUAAAGCAUCUAACCGGGCUGUGGUCCGUAUGAUCGGCUGACUGCAGUA
rnacentral:ncRNA from 1 species